GUGUCAGCCGCCGCGGUAAGACAGAGGGUGCAAACGUUGUUCGGAAUUACUGGGCGUAAAGCGCGUGUAGGCGGCUGCGCAAGUCGGAUGUGAAAUCCCAUGGCUCAACCAUGGAAGUGCACCCGAAACUGCGUAGCUUGAGUCUCGGAGAGGAAGGCGGAAUGCUUGGUGUAGAGGUGAAAUUCGUAGAUAUCAAGCGGAACACCGGUGGCGAAGGCGGCCUUCUGGACGAUGACUGACGCUGAGACGCGAAAGCGUGGGGAGCAAACAGGAUUAGAAACCCCUGUAGUCC
rnacentral:rRNA from 1 species